GUGUGUGUUAUUGUGUGAACCAAAGGAAGAAGAAGAAGAGAAGAAAUCUGAAAUAGCAUGGAUAAUCUAUGAAUUUAGGGGUGUUCAUCACCUCCUAAGCAUCAAUAUAGGGAUCAUGUCGAGAUGGAAUCAAGCACGAAAGGCUAACGGGCCAAGAUGAGGCAAGGAAGCGGAUCACGGACACAAAAGCCAUGAAGGUGUUCAAAGGAUAAAGGUUGUUGGUCGAUACCUUAUGUCGAAGGAAAAGCCAGCCGGUACGGUGAAGUAGGUUCAACAGAGAUCUUUAGAGGACGAGUCGAUGGUAUGCAGUGGUGGCUCGGAUUUAUUGGUAUGCAGUCGGUACAAACGUAGACAACCAAAAGAACCGAGCAGUGGCGGCUAGAAAAAUACAACACGGGUCAAACCAUGGAGCUACUAUAUGAGAGACUACGGAAUUUAGAGAGAAUCUUACCGACCUGAUCAAUGUGUAGAGGUGUUCAGCGGUUUUCUACAACGUCGAAUCCCAUGUUUAGCAAAACAAACAAGUUCAGUCGGUUCAAACAAAUGGUCGGUGGUGUCUUCGUCUGCGCACUUGAAGAUGAACAGAGGGAUUGAAGAUAGCGGAUGGGGUAGCUUUUGAAAGGUUGCGUAAGGAGUGAAACAAUGUGAAUGAGGUCGAUUAAUAAUGAUAGUCUACCGUUUGGGAGGGAUACGAAAUCCCGCAGUAUGCGUCGAUGUAAUCUUAGAAAUAAAUAGGACGCGUCAAUUUGAUCGGAAAUUGGGAAAGGGUUGACUGAUAAUUACUGAAAAAGUUCGAUUUCUUUACUCAUUCCUUAUUUAGUUUGUAAUUUAGUAUAAUAUAAUAUUUCCUUUUUUUUGUCGGUUCUCUAAAAU